UUAAGUUCAGCGGGUAUUCCUACCUGAUCCGAGGUCAACCUAAAAAAUUGGGGGGUUUCACGGCUGGUCACACCGCCAAAUCCAAAGCGAGAUACAUUACUGCGCUCGGAAUGACAGCGAGCCCGCCACUGUUUUUAGGGGGCUGCGGAUGGCCGCAGGGCCCCAACACAAGCCUAAGGCUUGAUGGUUGAAAUGACGCU
rnacentral:misc_RNA from 1 species